AUUGAACGCUGGCGGCAGGCCUAACACAUGCAAGUCGAGCGGAUGAAGGGAGCUUGCUCCUGGAUUCAGCGGCGGCCGGGUGAGUACUGCCUAUGAAUCUGCCUGGUAGUGGGGGAUAUCGUCCUGAUACGGGCUCUCUUACCGCCUACGUCCUGUGGGAGAAAGUGGUUGAUCUUCGGUCCUCUCGCUAUCAUAUUUGCCUAGGUCGGAUUAGCUAGUUGGUGGGGUAAAGGCCUACCAAGGCGACUAUCCGUAACUGGUAUGAUAGGAUGAUCAGUCACACUGGAACAGAGACACGGAACAGACAACGACGGGAGGCAGCAGUGGGGAAUAGUGGACAAGGGGGGAAAGGAUGAUACAGCAAAGCCGCGGGAGUGAAGAAGGUCUGCGGAUUGGAAAGCAAUUUAAGUUGGGAGGAAGGGAAGUAAGUUAAGAGCUUGCUGUAAUGACGUUACCAACAGAAGAAGCACCGGCUAACUUCGUG
rnacentral:rRNA from 1 species